rnacentral:rRNA from 2 species
GGGUUGUGAGGUUAAGCGACUAAGCGUACACGGUGGAUGCCCUGGCAGUCAGAGGCGAUGAAGGACGUGCUAAUCUGCGAUAAGCGCCGGUAAGGUGAUAUGAACCGUUAUAACCGGCGAUUUCCGAAUGGGGAAACCCAGUGUGAUUCGUCACACUAUCAUUAACUGAAUCCAUAGGUUAAUGAGGCGAACCGGGGGAACUGAAACAUCUAAGUACCCCGAGGAAAAGAAAUCAACCGAGAUUCCCCCAGUAGCGGCGAGCGAACGGGGAGGAGCCCAGAGCCUGAAUCAGCAUGUGUGUUAGUGGAAGCGUCUGGAAAGGCGCGCGAUACAGGGUGACAGCCCCGUACACAAAAGCGCAUGUGCUGUGAGCUCGAUGAGUAGGGCGGGACACGUGGUAUCCUGUCUGAAUAUGGGGGGACCAUCCUCCAAGGCUAAAUACUCCUGACUGACCGAUAGUGAACCAGUACCGUGAGGGAAAGGCGAAAAGAACCCCGGCGAGGGGAGUGAAAAAGAACCUGAAACCGUGUACGUACAAGCAGUGGGAGCACCCUUUGGGGUGUGACUGCGUACCUUUUGUAUAAUGGGUCAGCGACUUAUAUUCUGUAGCAAGGUUAACCGAAUAGGGGAGCCGUAGGGAAACCGAGUCUUAAC